CUUAAGCAUAUCAAUAAGCGGAGGAAAAGAAACUAACAAGGAUUCCCUUAGUAACUGCGAGUGAACUGGGAAUAGCUCAAAUUUGAAAUCUGAUGGUCUCUGUGACUGUCCGAGUUGUAAUCUAGAGAAGCGUUAUCUGCGCUGGACCAUGUACAAGUCUCCUGGAACGGAGCGUCGUAGAGGGUGAGAAUCCCGUCUUUGACAUGGACUUACCAGGGCUUCUGUGAUGCGCUCUCAAAGAGUCGAGUUGUUUGGGAAUGCAGCUCUAAAUGGGUGGUAAAUUCCAUCUAAAGCUAAAUAUUGGCGAGAGACCGAUAGCGAACAAGUACCGUGAGGGAAAGAUGAAAAGAACUUUGGAAAGAGAGUUAAACAGUACGUGAAAUUGUUGAAAGGGAAACGCUUGAAGUCAGUCAUGUUGGCCAGGAAAUCAGCCUUGCAUUUUUUGCUUGGUGCACUUUCUUGGUUUUCAACGGGUCAGCAUCAGUUUUGAUCAGUGGAAAAAGUGCAAGGGAAUGUGGCAUUCCUCGGAGUGUGUUUAUAGCUCUUGUUCGCAUACACUGGUUGGGAUUGAGGAACUCAGCACGCCGCAAGGCCGGGUCUAUAUUGGACCACGUUUCGUGCUUAGGAUGCUGGCGCUAAUGGCUUUAAUCGACCCGUCUUGAAACACGGACCAAGGAGUCUAACAUGCACGCGA
rnacentral:rRNA from 1 species